UUACGUCCAUAUCAGCUCGAAACAUUGGUUCCCGUACGAUUGCAGAACUUAAGCAACGUUGAGUCUGGGCAGUACUUAGAUGGGUGACAACUUGGGAAUGUAAAGUGCU